UACGAAGGGGGCUAGCGUUGCUCGGAAUCACUGGGCGUAAAGGGUGCGUAGGCGGGUCUUUAAGUCGGGGGUGAAAUCCUGGAGCUCAACUCCAGAACUGCCUUUGAUACUGAGGAUCUUGAGUCCGGGAGAGGUGAGUGGAACUGCGAGUGUAGAGGUGAAAUUCGUAGAUAUUCGCAAGAACACCAGUGGCGAAGGCGGCUCACUGGCCCGGUACUGACGCUGAGGCACGAAAGCGUGGGGAGCAAACAGG
rnacentral:rRNA from 1 species